rnacentral:rRNA from 1 species
UGGGGAAUUGUUCGCAAUGGGCGCAAGCCUGACGACGCAACGCCGCGUGGAGGAUGAAGAUCUUCGGGUCGUAAACUCCUUUCGAUCGAGACGAACGGCUCCCGUGCUAAUCAACGGGAGAGUGACGGUACCGAGAGAAGAAGCCCCGGCUAACUCCGUGCCAGCAGCCGCGGUAAUACGGGGGGGGCAAGCGUUGUUCGGAAUUACUGGGCGUAAAGGGCUCGUAGGCGGCCAACUAAGUCAGACGUGAAAUCCCUCGGCUUAACCGGGGAACUGCGUCUGAUACUGGAUGGCUUGAGGUUGGGAGAGGGAUGCGGAAUUCCAGGUGUAGCGGUGAAAUGCGUAGAUAUCUGGAGGAACACCGGUGGCGAAGGCGGCAUCCUGGACCAAUUCUGACGCUGAGGAGCGAAAGCCAGGGGAGCAAACGG